rnacentral:rRNA from 1 species
GAUGAACGCUGGCGGCGUGCCUAAUACAUGCAAGUCGAGCGAACAGAUAAGGAGCCUGCUCCUUUGACGUUAGCGGCGGACGGGUGAGUAACACGUGGGUAACCUAUCUAUAAGACUGGGAUAACUUCGGGAAACCGGAGCUAAUACCGGAUAAUAUUUCGAACCGCAUGGUUCGAUAGUGAAAGAUGGUUUUGCUAUCACUUAUAGAUGGACCCGCGCCGUAUUAGCUAGUUGGUAAGGUAACGGCUUACCAAGGCGACGAUACGUAGCCGACCUGAGAGGGUGAUCGGCCACACUGGAACUGAGACACGGUCCAGACUCCUACGGGAGGCAGCAGUAGGGAAUCUUCCGCAAUGGGCGAAAGCCUGACGGAGCAACGCCGCGUGAGUGAUGAAGGUCUUCGGAUCGUAAAACUCUGUUAUUAGGGAAGAACAUACGUGUAAGUAACUGUGCACGUCUUGACGGUACCUAAUCAGAAAGCCACGGCUAACUACGUG